rnacentral:rRNA from 1 species
AUACGUAGGUGGCAAGCGUUGUCCGGAUUUAUUGGGUUUAAAGGGUGCGUAGGCGGCCCGUUAAGUCAGCGGUGAAAUACCCAGGCCUAACCUGGGGGGUGCCGUUGAUACUGGCGGGCUUGGGUUCUGUAGAGGCAGGCGGAAUUGACGGUGUAGCGGUGAAAUGCAUAGAUAUCGUCAAGAACACCGAUAGCGAAGGCAGCCUGCUGGGCAGAUACCGACGCUGAGGCACGAAAGUGUGGGGAUC